GAUAGUUAGCAACUUAGGUAAAGUCCAGUUUUCAUAUCGUGUUAUAGUUUAUUUUUGUUGCUUUUUUACUUUAGUAUAGUAAAAUCUUCUACCCGUAUCCCCCACACAACUUGCAGAUUUAAGGCAUCUCUGCCGUUCGACUCCCCGACACUACAACCAACGUCUGUAAUCUGCUGAAGCUUGUAAUGAAUAUACAAUUUUCAACGUGUAUUCUCACAUAGAGGGAAACAGCGGAAGAAGCAGAAGAAUGGCCAAGUUGCAGUGUUUUUUAUGCAAGUAUAUUUGCUAUCAUGAAAACAGCAGAAUUAAUUAAAACUAUGGAGUAUGAAAAACUGUUACUGACUACUAAAUCUUGGAGAAGAUUUCAAAAUUUUGCAAAUUGGAUCUGGGUACUCUUCACAUUACUAUCUGGAUUUCUUAGAGCAUUAAAACUACUAUUCAAGGAGAAAACCAAAGUGAGAGAAUCUACGUGCAUAGAACAUAGUCUCAUUUAAGUGUGGAUAAGACAAUGUUACGCAUUACGAUAAGGAUAUUAACAGCAACAUUCGAUUGAGAACGUCCAAACGGGAUAUCCAACGUCGAAUAAAAUUCAAUAAUCGGUUAACGUUUUCUUGGAUAAUCAGUUCCUUUUUUAGUUUUGGAAUGAUUUGUGUUUUUGUUGCACUUAUGCAACAUUGCGUUAUGCGAUGUAUUUUUCCCAAUAUUUUUAAAGUAAGUAAGUAAAGUAAAUAAACUCACUAUUUUUAGAUGAAAA